UAAAUAUAUUCAUUUCAUGCUUAUGGAGAUGUUGUCCCUAUAGGCGGAUCUGUCUUUACGGCUAUGAUCUAUCCGGUUUUGCUUUUCUUUUUCACAUUUGUCCUUUUAAAUAAUUACUGGCCACCUGCCAAUGCUCGAUAAAACCUAUCCCUGCAGUAGACGGGUCUUCCAUCAGCGGCCUCAGCAGCAGCUGCUGCUAGAUCAUCAUCAGCUAUCACCUCUACUGGCAGUUUCAGCAACUCCUCUU